rnacentral:rRNA from 1 species
AUUGAACGCUGGCGGCAUGCUUUACACAUGCAAGUCGAACGGCAGCGCGGGCUUCGGCCUGGCGGCGAGUGGCGAACGGGUGAGUAAUGCAUCGGAACGUGCCCAGUAGUGGGGGAUAGCCCGGCGAAAGCCGGGUUAAUACCGCAUACGACCUGAGGGUGAAAGCGGGGGACCGAAAGGCCUCGCGCUAUUGGAGCGGCCGAUGUCGGAUUAGCUAGUUGGUGGGGUAAAGGCUUACCAAGGCGACGAUCCGUAGCUGGUCUGAGAGGACGACCAGCCACACUGGGACUGAGACACGGCCCAGACUCCUACGGGAGGCAGCAGUGGGGAAUGUUGGACAAUGGGGGCAACCCUGAUCCAGCCAUGCCGCGUGCGGGAAGAAGGCCUUCGGGUUGUAAACCGCUUUUGUUCGGGAAGAAAUCCUCUGGGCUAAUACCCCGGGGGGAUGACGGUACCGGAAGAAUAAGCACCGGCUAACUACGUG